rnacentral:rRNA from 1 species
AGCAGCCGCGGUAAUUCCAGCUCCAAUAGCGUAUAUUAAAGUUGUUGCAGUUAAAAAGCUCGUAGUUGAAUUUUAGGCCUGGCCAGGCGGUCCGUCUUUGGCGAGUACUGUCUUGUUGUCGGGUCUUCCUUCUGGUGAACCAGUAUGUCCUUCAUUGGGUGUGUUGGGGAGCCAGGACCAUUACCUUGAAAAAAUUAGAGUGUUUAAAGCGGGCUAUUGCUUGAAUAGAUUAGCAUGGAAUAAUAGAAUAGGACGUUGUGGUUCUAUUUUGUUGGUUUCUAGGACCACCGUAAUGAUUAAUAGGGAUAGUUGGGGGGCAUUAGUAUUCAAUUGUCAGAGGUGAAAUUCUUGGAUUUAUUGAAGACUAACUACUGCGAAAGCAUUUGCCAAGGAUGUUUUCAUUAAUCAAGAACGAAAGUUAGGGGAUCGAAGACGAUCAGAUACCGUCGUAGUCUUAACCAUAAACUAUGCCGACUAGGAAUCGGGCGACGUUAUUUUUACGACUCGCCUUCGGCGCCUU